UACGUAGGGUGCUAGCGUUGUUCGGAAUCAUUGGGCGUAAAGCGCGUGUAGGCGGUUUGAUAAGUCCGGUGUGAAAGCCCUCGGCUCAACCGAGGAAGUGCAUCGGAAACUAUCUAACUAGAAGACGGUAGAGGAAGGUGGAAUUCCAAGUGUAGAGGUGAAAUUCGUAGAUAUUUGGAGGAAUACCGGUGGCGAAGGCGGCCUUCUGGGCCGAUCUUGACGCUGAGACGCGAAAGCGUGGGGAGCGAACAGG
rnacentral:rRNA from 1 species